CCGGUGAAUACGUUCCCGGACCUUGUACACACCGCCCGUCAAGCCAUGGAAGCCAGGGGUACCUGAAGGCGAUCACCGUAAGGACUCGUUCAAGGUAAAACUGGUAACUGGGGCU
rnacentral:rRNA from 1 species